rnacentral:rRNA from 1 species
UACGUAGGGGGCUAGCGUUGUCCAGAUUUAUUGGGCGUAAAGAGCGUGUAGGCGGCCAGGUAGGUCUGGUGUGAAAACUCGAGGCUUAACCUCGAGAUGUCAUCGGAAACCAUUUGGCUAGAGUCCGGAAGAGGAGAGUGGAAUUCCUGGUGUAGCGGUGAAAUGCGCAGAUAUCAGGAAGAACACCAAUGGCGAAAGCAGCUCUCUGGGACGGUACUGACGCUGAGACGCGAAAGCGUGGGGAGCGAACAGG